GAUAUUUAAAAUUAACUUUGGAUAUGUUUUAGAUGGAGUAAAAGAUUGUAAGGAAUUCUGUUCAUUACGGACAAGCUGCUGGUGGACCACAGCAGGGAAGCCUUAUGUUUUGCUUUCAACAACAACUUCUAGAAAUUUUGAGGCUUUCAAAGUAUUCUCCUGUCUCCAGGCUGUUGCCUGUACUUCCCAUCUAUCUGGAACCAGGCUAUUUCAUACUAAAGUUUUCCUUCAAAGAAAAUAUUUUUUAGUGAAACAUCUACCUGGAUCGCAUGACCACUACCUAAUCGUUGCUGUCAAAUUUUAUUCCCAGAAUGGACACUAAGAUUUAUACAUUCACAUUACAAAAGGUAGCUAUCACUAAAACGUGUUAAUGUUGUCUUAAAAAGUUAAUAGUUGUAUAUUAUUAUGUGCCAGACACUGUGUUAAGUAAUUUAGAUCAAUUACUGGAGAGUCACAACCCUUGUUCAAGGUCAGCACUAUUACUGUUCUAAUUCAUUAAUUUGUACACAAGACAUUUAUUGGGUUCAUGCCAUGUGUAAGACACUGAACUCAGUAUCGGGGAUAUAAUAGGGAAUGCCGUAAGUAUAAAAUGUCUUGGAAAUUCUAACUGUUAAGACAGCAGUGAGACAAAUACUGAAAGUAUCAUUUAUUUUAUAUGCUGAGAAUGUUAUAAAAAUACAGCAGGGA
rnacentral:lncRNA from 1 species